rnacentral:tRNA from 1 species
GGAGAAGUGGCUGAGUGGCCUAAGGCGCACGACUGGAAAUCGUGUAAACGUUAAUAGCGUUUCGAGGGUUCAAAUCCCUCCUUCUCCGCCA